CAUAGCGACUAUCGUGGCAUAUCAAUAAGCGGAGGAAAAGAAACUAACUAAGGAUUCCCCUCAGUAACGGCGAGUGAAGCGGGAAGAGCUCAAAUUUGAAAUCUUCAAGGUUCUGACCUUGACGAAUUGUAGUUUAAAGAAGUGUUUUCGGUUAGAGGAGUUUAGUAAAAGUUCUUUGGAAUAGGACAUCAUAGAGGGUGAGAAUCCCGUAUUUGACCAUUAUUUCCAACUUUGUGAUACACUUUCAAAGAGUCGGAUUGUUUGGGAAUGCAGUCCAAAAUGGGUGGUAAAUUUCAUCUAAAGCUAAAUACUGGCGAGAGACCGAUAGCGAACAAGUACCGUGAGGGAAAGAUGAAAAGAACUUUGAAAAGAGAGUUAAACAGUACGUGAAAUUGUCAAAAGGGAAGCGUUUGACACCAGUGUUGUUUUCUCGAAAAUCAAUUAAGAAUGGCGGGAUUUUGUGUUGUAUUGACUUUAUCAGCUUUCUGCACUUUUUUCCUGUCUUUUUUAAUGCACUUUUCGUUUAACAAGUCAACAUCAAUUUCUUUUGUUGUAAAAGAGUCAUUGGAAGGUGGCUUUCUUUUCGGAGAAAGUGUUUAUAGCCUUUGACUUCUGCAAUCGGAGAGAUUGAGGUCUGCAGCGUAGAUCCUUCGGGGUUAGAUACAUUUGUGCUAAGCUAUAGCCUUUCAUAGACAACUUGUUGACUAUGAUCAGUCAUGUAGCUUACUCGCUUAUGCUAUUUUACCUACGCUUAGGAUGUUGACGAGACUGUCGAUCUC
rnacentral:rRNA from 1 species